GACGAACGCUGGCGGCGUGCUUAACACAUGCAAGUCGAACGGAAAGGCCCUGCUUGCAGGGUACUCGAGUGGCGAACGGGUGAGUAACACGUGGGUGAUCUGCCCUGCACUUCGGGAUAAGCCUGGGAAACUGGGUCUAAUACCGGAUAGGAGCCAUUUUUAGUGUGAUGGUUGGAAAGUUUUUUCGGUGUAGGAUGAGCUCGCGGCCUAUCAGCUUGUUGGUGGGGUAAUGGCCUACCAAGGCGGCGACGGGUAGCCGGCCUGAGAGGGUGGACGGCCACAUUGGGACUGAGAUACGGCCCAGACUCCUACGGGAGGCAGCAGUGGGGAAUAUUGCACAAUGGGCGCAAGCCUGAUGCAGAGACGCCGCGUGGGGGAUGACGGCCUUCGGGUUGUAAACUCCUUUCGCUAGGGACGAAGCUUUUUGUGACGGUACCUAGAGAAGAAGCACCGGCUAACUACGUG
rnacentral:rRNA from 1 species